GAUGAACGCUGGCGGCGUGCCUAAUACAUGCAAGUCGAGCGAACAGACGAGGAGCUUGCUCCUCUGACGUUAGCGGCGGACGGGUGAGUAACACGUGGAUAACCUACCUAUAAGACUGGGAUAACUUCGGGAAACCGGCGCUAAUACCGGAUAAUAUAUUGCACCGCAUGGGUCAAUAGUGAAAGACGGUUUUGCUGUCACUUAUAGAUGGAUCCGCGCCGCAUUAGCUAGUUGGUAAGGUACCGGCUUACCAAGGCAACGAUGCGUAGCCGACCUGAGAGGGGGGUCGGCCACAUGGGAACGGAGACACGGUCCAGACUCCUACGGGAGGCAGCAGUAGGGAAUCUGCCGCAAUGGGCGAAAGCCUGACGGAGCAACGCCGCGUGAGUGAUGAAGGUCUUCGGAUCGUAAAACUCUGUUAUUAGGGAAGAACAAAUGUGUAAGUAACUAUGCACGUCUUGACGGUACCUAAUCAGAAAGCCACGGCUAACUACGUG
rnacentral:rRNA from 1 species